AUGCCUUAAACUGAUGAGUAAGGAAAAUAACGACGCGGGGUGACGCCCGUGUCCUCGCCAAGAUUUGCGAGAUCAAUUUUUGAACGGGUACAGGUCCGCCUGUUUAGGUGACUCACCUACUUUGUGAGAUGCCUUGCGGGACAUGGAUCUGCCCC
ensembl:snRNA U12 U12 minor spliceosomal RNA